UACGUAGGGACCAAGCGUUGUUCGGAUUUACUGGGCGUAAAGGGCUCGUAGGCGGCCAACUAAGUCACACGUGAAAUCCCCAGGCUUAACCUGGGAACUGCGUGUGAUACUGGAUGGCUUGAAUCCGGGAGAGGGAUGCAGAAUUCCAGGUGUAGCGGUGAAAUGCGUAGAUAUCUGGAGGAAUACCGGUGGCGAAGGCGGCAUCCUGGACCGGCAUUGACGCUGAUGAGCGAAAGCUAGGGGAGCAAACGGG
rnacentral:rRNA from 1 species